rnacentral:rRNA from 1 species
UACGGAGGGUGCAAGCAUUAAUCGGAAUUAUUGGGCGUAAAGAGCGCGUAGGCGACGUAUCAAGUCUUUGAUGAAAUACUAAUGCUUAACAUUAGUGCUGUUGGAGAUACUGAUAAGUUAGAGGAUGGACGGAGAAAACGGAAUUUCACGUGUAGCGGUGAAAUGUGUAGAUAUGUGAAAGAACACCGGUGGCGAAAGCGGUUUUCUAGUUUAGACCUGACGCUGAGGCGCGAGAGCUAGGGGAGCAAACAGGAUUAGAUACCCGAGUA